rnacentral:rRNA from 1 species
UACGUAGGUGGCAAGCGUUGUCCGGAGUUAUUGGGCGUAAAGCGCGCGCAGGCGGUGCGGUAAGUCUCUGGUGAAAGCGCUCGGCUUAACUGGGCGAGGGCCGGGGAGACUGCCACGCUGGAGGGGAGCAGAGGCGAGUGGAAUUCCGGGUGUAGUGGUGGAAAUGCGUAGAGAUCCGGAGGAACACCAGUGGCGAAGGCGGCUCGGCUGGGCUCUACCUGACGCUGAGGCGCGAAAGCGUGGGGAGCGAACCGG